rnacentral:rRNA from 1 species
UGGGGAAUAUUGGACAAUGGGCGGAAGCCUGAUCCAGCAACGCCGCGUGAGGGAUGACGGCCUUCGGGUUGUAAACCUCUUUCAGUACCGACGAAGCGAAAGUGACGGUAGGUACAGAAGAAGGACCGGCCAACUACGUGCCAGCAGCCGCGGUAAUACGUAGGGUCCGAGCGUUGUCCGGAAUUAUUGGGCGUAAAGGGCUCGUAGGCGGUUUGUCGCGUCGGGAGUGAAAACAGCGGGCUUAACUCGUUGCUUGCUUCCGAUACGGGCAGACUAGAGGUAUGCAGGGGAGAAUGGAAUUCCUGGUGUAGCGGUGAAAUGCGCAGAUAUCAGGAGGAACACCGGUGGCGAAGGCGGUUCUCUGGGCAUUACCUGACGCUGAGGAGCGAAAGUGUGGGGAGCGAACA